UAAAGUAAAUAUUUUUGUAAACUGGGGAGGUGAUAGACAAGCAUCCACAACCUUGAAGAUCCGUCUGCCCUAACAAGUUGAGACUAGACUUCCCUUCAUUAGGAAAAAGUAUAGAGACAGGCUGUCUUCACAUUAGGAUCUAUAGUCAAAAGUGAAUAAAUGUGUCUGUGCAAAUAUGUUAAUUUUGGGGAGUUAGCCCCUCUUUUUUUUUCCUCCGUUUUCUCCUUUCCCAUCCAGACUUCUUAAUCAUCAACUCACAUCCCCUUUUCUGCUUCCUCAUCUUGAGUUUUGCUUAAUCCCUUUUGGUCAGAGUCCAUUUUCCUUUUUCCACGGUUGCUGAAAUCUUUUUUUUUUAAUCAUAGAUUGACACAAUAUCUUUAUUUAUUUAUUUAUAUGUGAUGCUGAGGAUUGACCCCUGUGCUUCACGCAUGUGAGGCAAGCGCUCUACCCCAGCCAGAAAUGGUGCUUCUUAAGGAACAUCCAACCUCUGCAAGACUGCUGGGAGCCUGGUUGACACUGGACACACUGAUUCUUCUUUGUUCCUGGUGCUGCUUUUAACAGGGAUCCACGUGGGAUAGAAAGGGGGAAACCAGGGUACCAUGGGAGCAUAUGUCAUGGAGAGCUAAUUUAGUCUGGGGGCAAAGAAGACUUACCAGUGAAGUGAUACAAAAGAUGAAACUUUAGGGUGCUGUUAGCCAGACUGAAGCUAGAGUGAAUUUGUACCUACCCUGAUUCAUCUUAAAUAAAAAUAUUGAGAUAGAGAAAAUUUUACCAAGGAUGGUGCUAAAGUCAGUAAUCCUAUGUAUUGAUUCCCAGGAGAUAUUGGAACCCACAGAGCCACCUGACAGAGUGAAGCAGAGCAUUCUGCCUGGGGGAUCUGAGGUCUCAGCCCAAGUUGAGUGGAGGUCGGUAGCUGAGAGAGUGCUUAUAGU
rnacentral:lncRNA from 1 species